rnacentral:rRNA from 1 species
UACAGAGGGUGCGAGCGUUAAUCGGAAUUACUGGGCGUAAAGCGUGCGUAGACGGUUAUUUAAGUCGGGUGUGAAAGCCCCGGGCUCAACCCGGGAAUGGCGCUCGAGACUCUGGCUCUUGAGUCCCGGAGAGGCGGGUGGAAUUCCUGGUGUAGCGGUGGAAUGUGUAGAGAUCAGGAGGAACACCGGUGGCGCAGGCGGCCCGCUGGACGGAGACUGACGCUGAGGCGCGAAAGCGUGGGGAGCAAACGGG